rnacentral:lncRNA from 1 species
UUUUUUUCAUUGGUCCAGAGGGACUACAUUUUUGACCACUUGGUAAAAUUCCUCAUUCCUGAAAUUCUUAGAUUUCUCGGGCAUUUAGACUAGUGUCUAUUCUAAUCAGGAUUCCGUAUUCAUCUCUUUGUGUUGGAAGGUAUUGUAGUCAAUUUUGGAUCCAUGUCUACCCUACUACACUUUGUAUUAUUUUUGAAACAAGCAAAUCGUUUAAAGGAGUUGCUAGGACAUUGACAUUUAGUCGUGAACAUUAAUUUCUUAAUCACCCAACAAAUACUCUACUAAACGAAUCUUAAUCGUUGAUGAUUGAAUGUUCCAGAAGCUACCGUUGUAGCUAGAUGUCAUGUAUUAAUUUCAAUUACCUUGUAUUCUAGAUUUGUUGGACUUGUUUGACCUUCAAACUCUUGAUUGUUCUUAUUGGUGUAGUUUUCAAUAUGAACCUGCUCACUAUGGUGUCAUGAAUUGCAUUGUUGGGUUAUGUGGUGUGUAUGUUGUAAAAAAUAGUUAUCUUUAUUUUAGUUGGUAGUAACUACGGUUACAAUUUUUGGUUUUGAGUAUGACAUUGUUGAGGUGUACUGUGAAAAUUUUAUCCAUAGCACAUGAUUGACAGAAAAAUAUUGUGAACAGGUAGUUGAACGAUCGAGAUUAUAAUGUAGCAAAUUGGGUGUUAUAUGUGUUGUCGCUUGGGAAGGCAGUACGUGAGCGCGAUUGAGGCACUAAUUGGAUGAUUUAUGCGUAUUUUCCCAAUGGGGGGAAUGAUGGUAAUACUGCACCCUCAGGAAUUUGUUACUUACUUAUCAGAACAAUAGUGAGUUGUUGGUAUUACGGGCUAUGGACCGUAACAUUGAAACCUUAAUUGUUGAACUUGUUAAGCAAGUGGACAUCUAGGUCCAUCUACGUUUAGUUAAUUAAUUAUUGUUUGGGCUUAACCCAAAGAUAGCACACACUCAUCUUCGAGGCACAUGACGCCUUUGGGUGUGUAGGUGAAGUUUUCUAUUUUCAGUGUUGUUUUCAGUACAACCAUUUUAACUUCACUUUAUUAUAUACGUACUUCAACAUUACAUUGUUAUACAACUAUUUUUCUACUUUAUGUUUUAUAAAGGACUGUUUAUUUUAGUAUUGUACUAAAGGAGAAGGAAAGUUUGAGUUUGGAAGCAUGAAAGAGGAAUCACUGAACUUUGAUCGCGACGGAAUGGCAUUCUCUUUUAUGCAACCACUCUAACUUGAUAUCUUCUUUACAUAACUGUUUUUCUUCUAUCUUUUCACUACGUUUGUUUAGCAAAUGAUUUUAAAUUUCGGGGACGAAAUUUUUUUAAAGUGGGUAAAUUGUGACAACACGUCCCUAAUUUUACGUUUUUAUUUAUUUUAAAAGUGUGAAUUGGCGAAAAUGUCCCUAGAGGCAAGAACUUUGACUUCCGUUGACCAUUGUCUAGAGAAAUGUAUAACUUAGUCUUUUGGCAUAUUUGUGUACUACUCGUUGGUACAAACGCAUAAGCGUAAGCCGUUUGCGAGUCCGGAUUAUAACGGUAUAGUUACGGACGUUUGAAAUUGGUUACUUACAUUUUAGAUUAUUAAAUUAUUUGAACUCCCACCUUGUGGGAAAGAAGCCAAUCAGCUUCAAGGAGAGAAAAUAAGGACCAAUAAGCCAAUUAAGAGAGGAGAGAGGGAAACUCUAAGCUUCCCUUCCUGUGGCCUUUCAAACAUAGAAACCCGGUUUUGACCCGGGGUGGUU